UACAGAGGUCUCAAGCGUUGUUCGGAUUCAUUGGGCGUAAAGGGUGCGUAGGUGGCGGGGUUAGUCAGGUGUGAAAUCUCGGAGCUCAACUCCGAAACUGCACUUGAUACUGCCUUGCUAGAGUACUGGAGAGGAGAUUGGAAUUUACGGUGUAGCAGUGAAAUGCGUAGAUAUCGUAAGGAAGACCAGUGGCGAAGGCGAAUCUCUGGACAGUUUACUGACACUGAGGCACGAAGGCCAGGGGAGCAAACGGG
rnacentral:rRNA from 1 species